rnacentral:rRNA from 1 species
AGUGAACGCUGGCGGUAGGCCUAACACAUGCAAGUCGAACGGCAGCACAGUAAGAGCUUGCUCUUACGGGUGGCGAGUGGCGGACGGGUGAGGAAUACAUCGGAAUCUACUUUUUCGUGGGGGAUAACGUAGGGAAACUUACGCUAAUACCGCAUACGACCUACGGGUGGAAGCAGGGGAUCUUCGGACCUUGCGCGAUUGAAUGAGCCGAUGUCGGAUUAGCUAGUUGGCGGGGUAAAGGCCCACCAAGGCGACGAUCCGUAGCUGGUCUGAGAGGAUGAUCAGCCACACUGGAACUGAGACACGGUCCAGACUCCUACGGGAGGCAGCAGUGGGGAAUAUUGGACAAUGGGCGCAAGCCUGAUCCAGCCAUACCGCGUGGGUGAAGAAGGCCUUCGGGUUGUAAAGCCCUUUUGUUGUGAAAGAAAAGCAGCAGGUUAAUACCCCGCUGUUCUGACGGUACCCAAAGAAUAAGCACCGGCUAACUUCGUG